AUUGAACGCUGGCGGCAGGCUUAACACAUGCAAGUCGAACGAGUGGCGGACGGGUGAGUAAUGCCUGGGAAUCUGGCUUAUGGAGGGGGGUAACUACGGGAAACUGUAGCUAAUACCGCGUACCAUCGGAUGUGCCCAGAUGGGAUUAGGUAGUUGGUGGGGUAACGGCUCACCAAGGCGACGAUCCCUAGCUGGUCUGAGAGGAUGACCAGCCACACUGGAACUGAGACACGGCCCAGACUCCUACGGGAGGCAGCAGUGGGGAAUAUUGCGCAAUGGGGGCAAGCCUGACGCAGCCAUGCCGCGUGAAUGAAGAAGGCCUUCGGGUUGUAAAGUUCUUUCGGUGGCGAGGCGUUACCUACAGAAGAAGCACCGGCUAACUCCGUGCCAGCAGCCGCGGUAAUAC
rnacentral:rRNA from 1 species